AGAAAAAUCAUUUCUUAAAAAGAAUGUACCUAAGUCAAAAUAUGAAGAGGAAAGGGAAUAAAUUGACACAAAGAAAGAAACCAAGCCAUCACAAUUUGGGUUGCAAAAUAAAUAAAUUUGAAAAUAAUAACAAUAAAAAUAAUCAAAUGGUUGGCUCAGCUAACCAAGUAAACUCACUCCUUCACUAGGGAGUAAAUUCAGUUGGUUUGGACUUCCAAGCAUUCCUGCGAGAAUUGGAUGAUAUCCUGCCACUGAAUUUUCUAGAGAGUUAAAAAGUUCAUCUAAGUUCCAAAAUUGCUGGCAUGAUCUUGCAGUGCCUGCCAAACAGGUUUAUUCAAGAGUUCUUCCUUAUCCCAGAACAGCCCUAAGGUUCUUGAGCCUUAAUACUGAGAGGUGCUUAAAACUCAAACUUCUUAUAUCCCUUUCCUUGCCAUCAGGUUGGAUUCUGCUAACAUUUAUAAAAAGGAGACAAGGCAAGAAAUUUCCUGAUCUCCCUGUGAAUGCAGUGGGAUAAAAUGCACUAGGAAGGUAAAUGCCUGUGAUAAGAGCCCUGAGAUAUGCAAAGUUCAGAAGAAACAGCUGUAAAUGCUGCUUGCUGCAGCUGGUGGUAAUACCAGAGCCAGGAGUAAAGAUACCAUCACUACCAGCAGCUAGAAUACUAGGGUACUCUUUCUCAGGAAAAAAAAAAGAGAUAAAAAAGACAUUUUAAAAAACCUUCUGGCAUUAAUAAUAAUUGCAAAAUCAGAAAUCUUUGUCAUUCCCCCCCCCCCCCCAGUUGACAUGUAUUUAGUUUACCUUCUAUGCCAUGAUUUUAAGAUGAAACAACCCACCCCAUUUCCCAGUUUCUUUUCUUUUUUGCUUGUCACACAUAGCAACAGAUACAUUAGACCGAAUUGUUCCUAUCCGAGCAUGUAUCAGAAUUCCUCUCCUAGGGACAGUUAUCUGAAUCAAUGGGAUUUGGUACACUGCUGAGUUAAUCUCACAAUAUUUCUCUUUUGCCUUUUACACUAUGUUGGACUACAUCACUCAUACUCUGCUGCCAGCCAUCAACUGAUCUGGAGGACUCCAGGCUGAGGAAGGCAUAUUUAUAAUAAGGUGUUUCCCAGGAAGGCUAAAGUGGAGCUAUUGUUUGUCCUGGAGCUGGCUGCCACUCUCUUAGCCAACAACUCUCCUUUUCUAGGAAGGGAAGUCAACACACCUUUGUCUGGCUUAGAAGGCUUCAGAGGUGCUUAAUUGGUGUGGAUUUCUCUUCAGAAAAGUCUGGCCUUGGGACCCACCUAUAAGGAGAAAUUGGUUACUGUUUGAUUAUUUGAGACUGAUAUCCUAAAGAAGAUUAAUCUGAUUAUCCCAGAUGUCUGGUUUUUAGAUAGGCUUUGUUCACACCCUCCGACUUGGGACUCCGGGAAUACAAGGAGGAUUUGGCACAGCAUAGCCACAGUUUGAAUCCUUCUAUAUAGCACAGAACACAUAAGAGAAAUGAGUGACCUUGGAAUGAAAUGUGUGCAUUAAUUGAAAAUAAAUAACUGCAUGCCUCCUAACAAAAGACUCCUAUUGUGAUAUGUCUAGAUCAGCCCCUCCCAACUGAAAAACUCCAAGGAAAGACACCCCACCGACCACUGCACACUAGUGAAAAAGGCAGAAAUAUUCUGGCAUCACGAAGGAUCAUACUUAAACCAUGAGUGCCUAUAUAAGGAUGCUCUUUUGCUUUUGGUACAUUUUCUCAGCCCGGCCAGGGACAUCUUUCAAAAGGAACCUGUCCGAAAGCUCCCCUCCAAACUGUCAGAUCACCCACUUAGUCCCUUUAAUUCUGCAGAGAGCUAGGCAUUGUCUAGGUUACACCCACCCCACCAGCCUUUGCACUUAAGAGGAAACUAGAGUCACCUGGCAUCUUGCUGGGUUGAGGACAGAAGCUGUUCCUGGGCAUAAGGAAGAAGCUGAAGGCAGGGGGUAUUUUAGGCUCUGAGGUUGAUGAAGGAGACUCAGCAGGUUUCUAGAGUUGGCUGCUAGAGUUGGUCUCCAAAAGUAGAAGUGGCCAGUGGCAUGAAAGAGAGGAGUGGAGAACAAGAGCUGACCAGGUUCCCUUUCCAGCAUAGAAGAAGGUUGCUCUGUAAAUCAGGAGCAAUAAGAAAUCUUUCGUUCUACAGUUGUUUUACUAUGUUCGGAUUAAAGACCAAAGGAUUCAGUCAGAAAUUAAAACACCAGGCGGCCUUUAAAGGUGACUGGGUUGUAUUCUUGAGAUUUAAAGCAGUGUCCACUAGGUUUGUUUUGUCUUUAAAGGGUAAUUUUUUAAAAAAAAGAAAAUGUCUACUAAAUGUGAUCUAUUAAACCAAUGUGAUCUAAUAAAGCUUAAACGUGCCACACUCUUUCCACUCACCCCUCCCUGCCUGAUACAUAUUUGAUCUGGUGACCAGAUAAUGCAAAGGUUGACCGGUGCACUCCUGUAUCUACAAGCAAUACCGAGUUCAGGGGCUAAACUCUCAACUAUGCCUGGCUACAUGCUUCCACUGUUAGGUUUAACUAGCAAGGUUUAACUUAAUCGUAGAGCCCCUGGGUUGUUGUAAUAUAGUGGUAUGAAACAUCCAUACAAUUGUUAGGAACGCCGGGUUUUUGGAAUUGGAUGAAACUCCGCUUUUGCCCUCCACUGAAUAAACACGAGUUUAAAUCACCCCACCCCCCCUGCACGAAGACAGAGAGAAAGAUGAAUGCAAAGCGGGCGAUCAGGCCCAGAAGGACCUUGUGGAAGGUCGCUCUAAAUGGGGAAAAAGCUGGUUUAAGAUGGCGCCUGAUUUGGCUUCUUCUCUCCAGCUCCGUCCCCAGCCUCAUCCCAAACAUGCCCCAAGACCUAUUGCAGGGCCCGGGGAAGAGAUUGGUUUAUUCUCCCAGGGCGGAAAGGACAGAGGUGU